GGCUUACUCACGUAACUGUUUGACGAGGAACUCUACUACUUCCAAGCCAUGCUAAAGGCUCAUAUUCAUGAGCAGCAUUCCGCGACACACGACGCGGCGAUUGUCGCUAUUACUGAGCCUCUAGCAUGGCUUGAAACUAGUCGAGUUCCUCAUCAAACAGUUACGUGAGUAAGCC
rnacentral:pre_miRNA from 1 species